GCGAACGCUGGCGGCGUGCCUAACACAUGCAAGUCGAACGUGAAUUGUAGCAAUACAUAGUAAAGUGGCGUACGGGUGAGUAACACGUAGGUAAUCUACUUUAGAGCCUGGAAUAACCUGCCGAAAGGCGGGCUAAUACUGGAUAGAUCGACGGAAUCCGUAAUUGGGUUUUUCGGGAAAGGGAGCUCGUAAGAGCCUUCACUCUAAAAUGAGCCUGCGUCCCAUUAGUUAGUUGGCGAGGUAACGGCUCACCAAGACUGUGAUGGGUAGCUGGUCUGAGAGGAUGAUCAGCCACACUGGGACUGAAACACGGCCCGGACUCCUACGGGAGGCAGCAGUGGGGAAUCUUGCGCAAUGGACGAAAGUCUGACGCAGCCACGCCGCGUGAGUGAAGACGGCCUUCGGGUUGUAAAGCUCUGUCAUCCGGGACGAACAAGUUUAGGGUUAACAGCCCUAGACCCUGACGGUACCGGAGGAGGAAGCACCGGCUAACUCUGUGCCAGCAGCCGCGGUAAUACAGAGGGUGCAAGCGUUGCUCGGAAUUAUUGGGCGUAAAGGGUAGGUAGGUGGUCUCGUUUGUCUGAGGUGAAAGCCCUGGGCUUAACCUAGGAAGUGCCUCGGAAACGGCGAGACUGGAGUCCUGGAGAGGGUCGUGGAAUUCCCGGUGUAGCGGUGAAAUGCGUAGAGAUCGGGAGGAAUACCAGAGGCGAAGGCGACGACCUGGACAGGCACUGACACUCAACUACGAAAGCGUGGGGAUCAAACAGGAUUAGAUACCCUGGUAGUCCACGCUGUAAACGAUCGGUACUAGGUUAGGUGGGUAUUGACCCCUGCCGAGCCGGAGCUAACGCAAUAAGUACCCGCGCCUGGGGAGUACGGUCGUAGACUAAAACUCAAAGGAAUUGACGGGGGCCCGCACAAGCGGUGGAUCAUGUGGUUUAAUUCGAAGCAACGCGAAGAACCUUACCUGGGUUUGACAUCCCUCGACAGUCGUAGAAAUACGAUCUUUGUAGCAAUACAACGAGGAGACAGGUGCUGCAUGGCUGUCGUCAGCUCGUGGGGUGACCUGUUGGGUUAAGUCCCGCAACGAGCGCAAACCCUUGUCCUUAGUUGCCAGCAUUCAGUUGGGCUCUCUAAGGAGACUGCCGUGGUUAACACGGAGGAAGGUGGGGAUGACGUCAAGUCCUCAUGGCCUUUAUAUCCAGGGCGACACACGUGAUACAAUGGAUGGUACAGAGGGAUGCUAAGGGGUAACCUGGAGCAAAUCCCAAAAAGCCGUUCUCAGUUCGGAUUGAAGUCUGCAACUCGACUUCAUGAAGGUGGAAUCGCUAGUAAUCGCGGAUCAGCACGCCGCGGUGAAUACGUUCCCGGGCCUUGUACACACCGCCCGUCACAUCACGAAAGUGGGCUGUACUAGAAGUCGGUGCGCUGACCGCAAGGAGGCAGCCGCCCAAGGUAUAGCUCAUGAUUGGGGUG
rnacentral:rRNA from 1 species